rnacentral:rRNA from 1 species
GACGAACGCUGGCGGCGUGCCUAAUACAUGCAAGUUGAGCGCUGAAGGUUGGUACUUGUACCAACUGGAUGAGCAGCGAACGGGUGAGUAACGCGUGGGGAAUCUGCCUUUGAGCGGGGGACAACAUUUGGAAACGAAUGCUAAUACCGCAUAAAAACUUUAAACACAAGUUUUAAGUUUGAAAGAUGCAAUUGCAUCACUCAAAGAUGAUCCCGCGUUGUAUUAGCUAGUUGGUGAGGUAAAGGCUCACCAAGGCGAUGAUACAUAGCCGACCUGAGAGGGUGGUCGGCCACAUUGGGAAUGAGACACGGCCCAAGCUCCUACGGGAGGCAGCAGUAGGGAAUCUUCGGCCAUGGACGAAAGGCUGACCGAGCAACGCCGCGUGAGGGAAGAAGGUUUUCGGAUCGUAAAAAUCUGUUGGUAGAGAAGAACGUUGGUGAGAGUGGAAAGCUCAUCAAGUGACGGUAACUACCCAGAAAGGGACGGCUAACUACGUG